rnacentral:rRNA from 1 species
UACGUAGGGGGCAAGCGUUGUCCGGAUUUACUGGGCGUAAAGAGCGUGUAGGCGGCCACGCAGGUCCGUUGUGAAAACUGGAGGCUCAACCUCCAGCUGUCGACGGAAACCGUGUGGCUAGAGUCCGGAAGAGGAGAGUGGAAUUCCUGGUGUAGCGGUGAAAUGCGCAGAUAUCAGGAAGAACACCGGUGGCGAAGGCGGGUCUCUGGGCCGUAACUGACGCUGAGGAGCGAAAGCGUGGGGAGCGAACAGG